CCCCGAACUCCCCUGCCCUCUUCCAACACCCCAUCCCUGCUCCCUGCCCCCUUACCCCACUGCCUGGAGGUGGCUGGCAGCUCUACAGCUCUG